rnacentral:rRNA from 1 species
AUUGAACGCUGGCGACAUGCCUUACACAUGCAAGUCGAACGGUAACAGGUCUUCGGAUGCUGACGAGUGGCGAACGGGUGAGUAAUGCAUCGGAACGUGCCCAGUAGUGGGGGAUAGCCCGGCGAAAGCCGGAUUAAUACCGCAUACGACCUGAGGGUGAAAGGGGGGGAUCGCAAGACCUCUCGCUAUUGGAGCGGCCGAUGUCAGAUUAGCUAGUUGGUGGGGUAAAGGCCUACCAAGGCAACGAUCUGUAGUUGGUCUGAGAGGACGACCAGACACACUGGGACUGAGACACGGCCCAGACUCCUACGGGAGGCAGCAGUGGGGAAUUUUGGACAAUGGGCGCAAGCCUGAUCCAGCAAUGCCGCGUGCAGGAAGAGGGCCUUCGGGUCGUAAACUGCUUUUGUCAGGGAAGAAGUCUUCUGGGUUAAUACCUCGGGAGGAUGACGGUACCUGAAGAAUAAGCACCGGCUAACUACGUGCCAGCCGCCGCGGUAACAC